rnacentral:rRNA from 1 species
UACAGAGGGGGCAAGCGUUGUUCGGAAUUACUGGGCGUAAAGGGCGCGUAGGCGGCCCGCUAAGUCGAACGUGAAAUCCCCAGGCUUAACCUGGGAACUGCGUCCGAUACUGGCAGGCUUGAAUCCGGGAGAGGGAUGUGGAAUUCCAGGUGUAGCGGUGAAAUGCGUAGAUAUGCGGAGGAACACCGAUGGCGAAGGCAAUCCCCUGGGCCUGCACUGACGCUCAUGCACGAAAGCGUGGGGAGCAAACAGG